CUUUGUAUGUGAAGCCUUCGGCUCACCGAAGAAGUGCAUUGGAAACUGGGAGACUUGAGUGCAGAAGAGGACAGUGGAACUCCAUGUGUAGCGGUGAAAUGCGUAGAUAUAUGGAAGAACACCAGUGGCGAAGGCGGCUGUCUGGUCUGCAACUGACGCUGAGGCUCGAAAGCAUGGGUAGCGAACAGGAUUAGAUACCCUGGUAGUCCAUGCCGUAAACGAUGAUUACUAAGUGUUGGAGGGUUUCCGCCCUUCAGUGCUGCAGCUAACGCAUUAAGUAAUCCGCCUGGGGAGUACGACCGCAAGGUUGAAACUCAAAAGAAUUGACGGGGGCCCGCACAAGCGGUGGAGCAUGUGGUUUAAUUCGAAGCUACGCGAAGAACCUUACCAGGUCUUGACAUCUUCUGACAGUCUAAGAGAUUAGAGGUUCCCUUCGGGGACAGAAUGACAGGUGGUGCAUGGUUGUCGUCAGCUCGUGUCGUGAGAUGUUGGGUUAAGUCCCGCAACGAGCGCAACCCUUAUUACUAGUUGCCAGCAUUAAGUUGGGCACUCUAGUGAGACUGCCGGUGACAAACCGGAGGAAGGUGGGGACGACGUCAAAUCAUCAUGCCCCUUAUGACCCUGGGCU
rnacentral:rRNA from 1 species